rnacentral:snRNA from 1 species
GGAUGUGAGGGUGAUCUGGCUGUGACAUCUGUCACCCCAUUGAUCACUAGGGUUGAUUCGGCUGAUCUGGCUGGCUAGGCAGGUGUCCCCUUCCUCCCUCCCCGCUCCAUGUGUCUCUCCGAAAGCUUCGUGCUCCGUCGAAGACGACGACCUUCCCCGAUAGAGGAGGACCGUUCUUCGGUCAAAGGUAUAUGAGUAGCUGCGCUCCCCUGCUAGAACCUCUAAACAAACUCUCAAGAAUAACUGGGGGAAAAGCAAAACUUGUAUAAGAAAACUUGAUGAUCUUGGGUUAAGGGACAAAUUCUCAAGGAU